UUGAGUCGACCGUCUUUUGUCUGCCGCGCGCCCCCGUCGCCAUUUUGUUUCCUUUUUUGGGAAGAAACACCUGUCCCUGCUCCUGGGAAGCCAGGAACUGCAGAUUGACAGCGCUCUCUCGCUAAGGCCCGCCUCCCCGCCCGCGCCCCGCGCGAAGUGGAAGCAUGCUCGCUUCUGCCUCUGUGGAAAUAGGCUGCGUCGACACUGGAAUGUAUGCCGUUUGACACCACUUCAGUUGCCACAGCUCAAUGCUAUACGAUCCCGGGAUUUGUAGCUUUGUAGACUCAAAGCGGCUAACUAAUCAGCCCAUAUUGUCUACAGCCCAUAUCGUCUACAGCCUUUCAGCCCAUAUCGUCUACAGAGACUACUACUUCCCUUUCAUACUUGGAUUGCCCCCACAAACUUAAUCCAACAUGGGAAAAUUACAGUGGUGGUCUAUUAUAGUCCAUAGGGUUCAACACCUUGGAUAGUUCCUUUUAAGCCUGGACUACAACCUGGAGCACAUUCACUGACAAAUGAGCCAAAUUACAAUUGUAAUUAUGUUAUUUGACAGAAAAUAUGAAAGAUAUUUUUUCCUUAUGGUGUACAGCUGUUAACAGUACCCAUUUAGAAAGGGACAUCAGACAGCAUAGUUCCAGAACAGCUAGUGAAUUAAAUGAAGGGAUUAAAGAAAAACAAGACUAUGAAUUAGUACAAGACAGCAAAUAUGUCAGAUGAUAUAAGCUAAGAUUGGGAAAACUAAAACCUUCUUCAAGAAAUGGGAGUUGUAUUGUCUUCAAAAGGACCCAAAACUAUAUGGAACCUUGUAUAAAUGUCUCAAGACAUUUUCAGAAAUUCGUAUUUACAAGGAAUUACUGUACAUACAAAGCAUAUUUUAUCUGAAAUUUGUGUGUAUAAGUCAUCCUUGUGUUUAUGUCAUGGGCAGGUUUGGGGCCAGAAAUAUUAAUUUUGAUAUGUCCCAUGGAUAAAUUGCAGUAUAUCUUUUACCUGAAAAGAGGGAACCCAGUACAAGAAAUGUAGCCGAUAAGAGCUCAUCUACUACUGCCUUUUGCUUAUCAGAAAGCAAGCCAGGACAACCAAAAUCCCAACCCCUGUAUGUGUCCCAGUGGGAUAUGCAUUAUCCAUUAAAAUCUGUAUAACACAAUAAACGAGAAAGAAAAUACCACCAGUAAAUGAUGCAGUGUAUUAAACAUAGUGUUAGCUGCUUUAAUUUUAAAAAUUAAGAAAAGUAGUAUUCUUCCUUUACAUUUGUAUCCAUGGGUGGAAGCAUAUUAUCCUUUUGAACAAUCUCUUCAGGUAGAGUAAUCUUGAGUUAUCUUGCCAAAUGGGAAUCUGAACCUACAGCUCCAAGUCUGGUAAUCGCCACCAACUUGAGAGUAUGUAGUUAAUAUUUUUCAUGCAUUUAUUGCAGCAGAUAUCUGUACUCUGGUACAGAGCUCAUGAAACAGCAAAGCGUCUCAUUGGAGAAGGGAUCAGAGGACUUGAGAUGGCAGUGUUCUGAGCUGACAAGAGAAUUGUGAAUAUAGCAGCUGUGAAAGUUUUGGAGGGCUGAUCAGAGCAGCUGGGUGUGCUGAUAGAGAGGAUCAUGGCAGUCCAAAGGAAAAGUAAGAAGAUCCAAAUAAGUGGAUUAGCAGCAUACCAAAGCACAUAUUACUUCCAGUUUUUAACCUCCCAUUGGUUUUGGUGUAAGUGUUUACUUAUGGAGAAAAAGAUCAAAGGGGAAUAAAAAAGCAGUUAUAAGCAAUAUCAGGAAUUCAGUUGUCAAGCACAUGGUAUGAUAUGUUGUCACUAUUUGUUAGUCUCAAUCAGGAUUUACAAGGAGAGACAUAAUAAUUUCAUGAUGGUUCAGAUAUAGUUUUCCAUGGUUUGUGUGGUUAGAGAUCUUGUUGCUGUGUGCCUUCAAGUCAUUCUUGACUUCUAUCAACCCUAAUGGCCUUUUCAAUGCGAAGAGUGUAUGACUCACCCAAUGUCCCCAGUACGUUUUUAUGGUUGAGCAAGAGAUUCAAACCCUGGUGUCCAGAGUCACAGUCCAACACUCAAAACCAUUACGACAUACUGGCUUCCUAUCGUACAUCUGCCAACAGUAGCAUAAGUAACUUACCAUGCCGGAUUUAAGGCAAAUGGGUCCCUAUGCUGGUUAAGUUAUGAGGCCCUUUACUUGGGCCCUGAAGGGAGUAGAUCCGGUAGACCUACACUGCCUGCUUUGUGGCACACUCCCAUAGAUCAUCAACUCUAUCAUUAUAUCUGGAAUCGCUUCGACACAGAACACCUUCAAAUUAGAAUUGCACCAUGGAAGCAAAAUCUAUCAUAAAAAAUGCUUAGCAGGAAGAUGAGCCAGGGGUGGGGGGCAACAGGGCCAUGUGCUUAAGCACACCUCAGCACAAUGGUAAAUCCAGCACUGCUCACAGAUACAUGAAUAAGCUCUUCUGCUAGGAGCAUUUACUGAAACAGUCUACAUGUUUUACUGAGAAGUGCCAUAAGGUAUAUGGAGCUCACUCCAAGGUAAAUGGAUAUAGGAAUGCAGCCUUAAGGCUAAGAAAAUAGCUAGAUCUUAGCUGAUGGCUAUACUUGGUGAGACAUGUAUUAGUUUCCCUGUUUCAAUUCCCAUAAUAGCAUAUUUCUGCUUUCAGGCUUAAGUGGUUCUGCAAAAUGCCACAGGGCUGUUCAGAUGAAACUGCUGAUGAGUUCUUUAUAAUGAUUUUAUUUACACACACACAAAUGUCAAAUUGCUAAAAUAAUUAGAAGCAAGUUAACACAAGAUGGAUUUUCUAUCCUGGAUUUCCUAUUAGAAAUGCCAUUUUAAAGUGUCUUUCCUUUUCUUCACCUUUUUAAACAUUAGGAUCAUGAAGAGGAUGUUGCAGCAAAAAAAAUGUGUGUGGAGAAUGUGACUGUGUUCCAGAACAUUGGUAACAGUUUAAUUUUAAAAUCUACACUGAGUUCUAAACACCUUGUACCUUUCUCUCCAGCUAUUUCACUAUCGCAUGUAUCAUCCUUUCGUAUAUGCCUAACGUGUCCAGUUCAAUGUAAUGAAAACUGAAAUAAUGAACACUUAUAAACUGUCAGGUUGUAGAACUGGAAUGGAAAUUUGAAGUAUAGUGUUCCCUCACUUAUCUUGGGGGUUAUGUUCCAGGCCCACCCGCAAUAAGUGAAAAUCCAUGAAGUAGGGACACUAUAUUUAUUUUAAUAUUUAUACAUUAUUUUAGUAGUUAUAUGCUAUUUUAAGUCUUUAUCAACCAAUCGUGUGUUGAUAAAUCGCCUCCUUCUCCUCCCGUUGCCGUUUGGGUUCCUUUUCUCUCCCUUCGGCCGCUCCCUCCUCCCUUCCUUAGGCUGUAAAUUGUAAUUUUUUUAGGAUUUAUAAUAUUAUUUUAGAGUUUAUUGAAAAACCGCAAAACAGCGAAUCCGCGAAGUAGUGAGGGAACACUGUAAUACCUAUUUGCCUUUUCCUCUGUUAAGGCUAGAGGUAGAAUGGCUAGCACCUACAUGCCACUGCGCACUGUAAUGUAGGAUCACAAUAUGAAAAUGAAGAUGGCAGUGUGCCUUCCUUGCCAUGUGUCGACUACUACAGCAAAGCUACACAAUCUGUUUAACACGAAGAGUUUUUGACAUGAUGAAAAAUGAUGUUCACAAUAUUUUGUAAAAUUAACUAUUUCAGUUACAUUAAAAAAAGACAAGCUUGGGCUUAAUACAAUGGAGGAUGCAAAUAGCAA